GGGUUAGUAGGUUGGUCAUGCCUCUGGUAUGUACUGGUCUCACUGAUUCCUCCUUCCUGAUGAACCUUAAUGCCAUUUAUUUGGUGUUUUGGGGAAUUUGGACUGUUACUUUGAAAAAAUUAGAGUGUUUAAAGCAAGCUAACGCUUGAAUACAUUAGCAUGGAAUAAUGAAAUAGGACGUUCGAUCCUAUUUUGUUGGUUUCUAGGAUUGACGUA
rnacentral:rRNA from 1 species